rnacentral:lncRNA from 1 species
CUCGGCGGUCCACUUGCGGGUCCAGCGCGCCCACGCGGUACCGUCCGCGCCGGUCUUGUCCUUGGUGCCCUCGAGGGUGUUGAGCAUGUUCAUGUACGUGGGGAGAGCCUCCUCGGUGAUCAUGUCGCCGACGAGGACGACGAGGUGAUCGUCGGGGAGAUCCGCGCCGCGCUUCUGGACCGCGGCCACCUCGUCGAGGAAAUCGGGGGACUCCGGGUUGGGGAGGAAGUCCUGGGGCUGCCAGUUCUUGUUGGGAUCCUUCAGCAGGCCCAUGAGCUGCGGAGCGACGGGAGCGGGCGCGGGGAAAAAGAAAUGACGUCAGUUUUUCAGUCUCGGGAAUCUUCUCGCCGGGGGAGCUCUCGGAGCGCGGGUGAUCACGCGCGGGGUUGGCGGAUGUGGAGCGACGCGGGAAGGUUCCGCGAUCGCCCCGCGGGUAUCGCGAGUCGGCGAGCGACGCGACGCGGGGCGAUACGGCCCGAUCGAUCGCCCGCGCGUGACACGCGCGACCCCGCCGCGGCUCCGCGCCAUAUUUUACAGCUGGAGCUCUGUGGGCCACUGCCCACCGGCCACGUGAGCGGCGAGGGAAAAAAUGAAGGGGUCGCGGCCCUGCGGGAGGGGCAAAGGCGAGUCGGGCGGGGUAUCCGCG